rnacentral:rRNA from 1 species
CCCUUAGAUGUUCUGGGCCGCACGCGCGCUACACUGAUGCAUUCAACGAGUUUCUUCCUGGUCCGAGAGGAAUGGGUAACCUUUUGAAAGUGCAUCGUGAUAGGAAUAGAUUAUUGCAAUUUUUAAUCUUGAACGAGGAAUUCCUAGUAAACGCAGAUCAUCAAUCUGCAUUGAUUACGUCCCUGCCCUUUGUACACACCGCCCGUCGCACCUACCGAUUGAAUGGUCCGGUGAAGCCUCGGGAUUGUAGCAAUCUACCUUUAUUGGUGGUUUGUUGCAAGAACUUGUCUAAACCUUAUCAUUUAGAGGAAGGUGAAGUCGUAACA